CUCAGUCGCCUCUUUUGGGGCGUUUCCUCCCUCACUUGGCCGUGCGAAUCCUCGCACGGCCUUUUUUCGCAGAGAC
rnacentral:sRNA from 1 species